UAUAUAUAAGUGUAUUUUUGCACUAAAAUUUUUGAAAUUUUGAGAUUUAGAACUUUUACUCUAAUAUGUAU
rnacentral:tRNA from 1 species